rnacentral:rRNA from 1 species
GACGAACGCUGGCGGCGUGCUUAACACAUGCAAGUCGAACGGAAAGGCCCUGCUUUUGUGGGGUGCUCGAGUGGCGAACGGGUGAGUAACACGUGAGUAACCUGCCCUUGACUUUGGGAUAACUUCAGGAAACUGGGGCUAAUACCGGAUAGGAGCUCCUGCUGCAUGGUGGGGGUUGGAAAGUUUCGGCGGUUGGGGAUGGACUCGCGGCUUAUCAGCUUGUUGGUGGGGUAGUGGCUUACCAAGGCUUUGACGGGUAGCCGGCCUGAGAGGGUGACCGGCCACAUUGGGACUGAGAUACGGCCCAGACUCCUACGGGAGGCAGCAGUGGGGAAUAUUGCACAAUGGGCGGAAGCAUGAUGCAGCAACGCCGCGUGCGGGAUGACGGCCUUCGGGUUGUAAACCGCUUUCGCGUGUGACGAAGCGUGAGUGACGGUAAUGGGUAAAGAAGCACCGGCUAACUACGU